GCCUAUGGUCAUACCACCCUGAACAUGCCUAGUCUCAUCUGAUCUCAAGGAUAAGCAGGGUUGGGAGAGACUAGUACUUGGAUGGAGGGUUCUAUUCCUAGUUC
rnacentral:rRNA from 1 species